GAUCCUGGCUCAGGAUGAACGCUAGCGGCAGGCCUAACACAUGCAAGUCGAGGGGCAGCGGGAAUUGAGCUUGCUCAAUUUGCCGGCGACCGGCGCACGGGUGCGUAACGCGUAUGUAACCUACCUUGAACUGGGGAAUAACACUGAGAAAUCGGUACUAAUACCCCAUAAUACACUGGAAGGCAUCUUUUGGUGUUGAAAGCUCCGGCGGUUCAAGAUGGACAUGCGUUGUAUUAGUUAGUUGG
rnacentral:rRNA from 1 species